rnacentral:rRNA from 1 species
AUUGAACGCUGGCGGCAGGCUUAACACAUGCAAGUCGAGCGGGGUGAUGGUGCUUGCACUAUCACUUAGCGGCGGACGGGUGAGUAAUGCUUAGGAAUCUGCCUAUUAGUGGGGGACAACAUCUCGAAAGGGAUGCUAAUACCGCAUACGUCCUACGGGAGAAAGCAGGGGAUCACUUGUGACCUUGCGCUACUAGAUGAGCCUAAGUCGGAUUAGCUAGUUGGUGGGGUAAAGGCCUACCAAGGCGACGAUCUGUAGCGGGUCUGAGAGGAUGAUCCGCCACACUGGGACUGAGACACGGCCCAGACUCCUACGGGAGGCAGCAGUGGGGAAUAUUGGACAAUGGGGGGAACCCUGAUCCAGCCAUGCCGCGUGUGUGAAGAAGGCCUUAUGGUUGUAAAGCACUUUAAGCGAGGAGGAGUCUCUUUCGGUUAAUACCCAAGAUGAGUGGACGUUACUCGCAGAAUAAGCACCGGCUAACUCUGUGCCAGCCGCCGCGGUAA